rnacentral:rRNA from 1 species
GCCAGCGGCGAAAGCACGUUGAAUACAUCAGUUCUCAAUGGCUCACUGAAGUCAACAUUGCGUGUGGUUGGUAUUGGAAUGGGUGACCAUCUGGGAUCUGGGCAAUCGCGGGCU